rnacentral:rRNA from 1 species
GAAAGUAGCGGCGAGCGAAAUUGGAUUAGCCCUUAAGCUUUUAAUGAGACAGAUGAAGGCUCUGGAAAGUGCCGCAAUAAAGGGUGAUAGCCCCGUAAUCAACAUCUCAUCAUCAGUGAAAUCGAGUAAGGCGGGACACGUGAUAUCCUGUCUGAAUAUGGGGGGACCAUCCUCCAAGGCUAAAUACUACUGACUGACCGAUAGUGAACCAGUACCGUGAGGGAAAGGCGAAAAGAACCCCUGUGAGGGGAGUGGAAUAGAACCUGAAACCGUGUACGUACAAGCAGUAGGAGCACCUUCGUGGUGUGACUGCGUACCUUUUGUAUAAUGGGUCAGCGACUUAAUUUUAGUAGCAAGGUUAACCGUUUAGGGGAGCCGUAGGGAAACCGAGUCUUAACUGGGCGUACAGUUGCUAGGAUUAGACCCGAAACCAGGUGAUCUAGCCAUGGGCAGGUUGAAGGUUGAGUAACAUCAACUGGAGGACCGAACCGACUAAUGUUGAAAAAUUAGCGGAUGACUUGUGGCUAGGGGUGAAAGGCCAAUCAAACCUGGAGAUAGCUGGUUCUCCCCGAAAGCUAUUUAGGUAGCGCCUCGGACGAAUACUACUGGGGGUAGAGCACUGUUAAGGCUAGGGGGUCAUCCCGACUUACCAACCCUUUGCAAACUCCGAAUACCAGUAAGUACUAUCCGGGAGACACACGGCGGGUGCUAACGUCCGUCGUGGAGAGGGAAACAACCCAGACCGCCAGCUAAGGUCCCAAAGUAUAGCUAAGUGGGAAACGAUGUGGGAAGGCUCAGACAGCCAGGAUGUUGGCUUAGAAGCAGCCAUCAUUUAAAGAAAGCGUAAUAGCUCACUGGUCGAGUCGGCCUGCGCGGAAGAUGUAACGGGGCUAAGCUAUACACCGAAGCUGCGGCUACGUACCUUAGGGUGCGUGGGGUAGGGGAGCGUUCUGUAAGCCGUUGAAGGUGGUCUGUAAGGGCUGCUGGAGGUAUCAGAAGUGCGAAUGCUGACAUGAGUAACGAUAAAGGGAGUGAAAAACUCCCUCGCCGGAAGACCAAGGGUUCCUGUCCAACGUUAAUCGGGGCAGGGUAAGUCGACUCCUAAGGCGAGGCCGAAAGGCGUAGUCGAUGGGAAACGGGUUAAUAUUCCCGUACUUCUUACAAUUGCGAUGGGGGGACGGAGAAGGCUAGGUGGGCCUGGCGAUGGUUGUCCAGGUUCAAGUAUGUAGGCGGAAAGUUUAGGUAAAUCCGGACUUUCUUAACGCUGAGAUACGAUGUCGAGCUACUACGGUAGUGAAGUCAUUGAUGCCAUGCUUCCAGGAAAAGCCUCUAAGCUUCAGAUUGUAAGGAAUCGUACCCCAAACCGACACAGGUGGUCGGGUAGAGAAUACCAAGGCGCUUGAGAGAACUCGGGUGAAGGAACUAGGCAAAAUGGUACCGUAACUUCGGGAGAAGGUACGCUCUUAUCAGUGAAGUCCCUUGCGGAUGGAGCAGACGAGAGUCGCAGAUACCAGGUGGCUGCAACUGUUUAUUAAAAACACAGCACUGUGCAAAAUCGUAAGAUGACGUAUACGGUGUGACGCCUGCCCGGUGCCGGAAGGUUAAUUGAUGGGGUUAGACUUCGGUCGAAGCUCUUGAUCGAAGCCCCGGUAAACGGCGGCCGUAACUAUAACGGUCCUAAGGUAGCGAAAUUCCUUGUCGGGUAAGUUCCGACCUGCACGAAUGGCGUAAUGAUGGCCACGCUGUCUCCUCCCGAGACUCAGUGAAAUUGAAAUCGCUGUGAAGAUGCAGUGUACCCGCGGCGAGACGGAAAGACCCCGUGAACCUUUACUACAGCUUGGCACUGAACAUUGAACCUA